CCUACGGGUGGCAGCAGUGGGGAAUAUUGCACAAUGGGGGGAACCCUGAUGCAGCAAUGCCGCGUGGGUGAAGAAGCACUCCGGUGCGUAAAGCCCUGUCAGCAGGGAAGAAAAUGACAGUACCUGACUAAGAAGUCCCGGCUAACUACGUGCCAGCAGCCGCGGUAAUACGUAGGGGGCAAGCGUUAUCCGGAUUUACUGGGUGUAAAGGGAGCGUAGACGGCAGCACAAGUCUGGAGUGAAAUCCCGGGGCUUAACCCCGGAACUGCUUUGGAAACUGUGCGGCUGGAGUGCAGGAGGGGUAAGCGGAAUUCCUAGUGUAGCGGUGAAAUGCGUAGAUAUUAGGAGGAACACCGGUGGCGAAGGCGGCUUACUGGACUGUAACUGACGUUGAGGCUCGAAAGCGUGGGGAGCAAACAGGAUUAGAUACCCGAGUAGUC
rnacentral:rRNA from 1 species